AUAUUGGACAAUGGGGGCAACCCUGAUCCAGCCAUGCCGCGUGUGUGAAGAAGGUCUUCGGAUUGUAAAGCACUUUAAGUUGGGAGGAAGGGCUUUAGGUUAAUACCCUGAAGUUUUGACGUUACCAACAGAAUAAGCACCGGCUAACUCUGUUCCAGCAGCCGCGGUAAUACAGAGGGUGCAAGCGUUAAUCGGAAAUACUGGGCGUAAAGCGCGGGUAGGGUGGUCAAGAAGGUGGGUGGGAAAACCCCGGGCUUAAACUGGGAAAUGGUUUCAAAAAUGGUGAGCUAGAGGAAGGUAGAGGGUAGGGGAAUUUCCUGGGUAGCGGUGAAAUGGGUAAAUAUAGGAAGGAAAACCAGUGGCGAAGGCGACUACCUGGACUGAUACUGACACUGAGGUGCGAAAGCGUGGGGAGCAAAC
rnacentral:rRNA from 1 species